GACCCAAUGGAUGGUCUGUUAUCAUUCAGGGAUGUGUCUGUGGACCUCUCACAGGAAGAAUGGGAAUGUCUAGACUGUGCUCAGAGGGCUUUGUACAUGGAUGUGAUGCUGGAGAAUUACAGCAAUCUACUUUUUGUUGAAUUUUGAAGCAUUUACCUGGAGGUACUCUAAAUUUAAGGUAAAUCUCUCCAUUUCUUAAAAUAAUGCCAGCAGGACUUUGAUAAGUUUUGUUUAGUAACUAUGUAGAGUAUUAAUUUCCAUCUACAUUGUCUUCCCAUUGAUAUCUCAAGUCUUCUGUCUUUAUGACAUCUGUCAUUGUUAAUAUAUUUUGAGAUCACCUUUGUGUUUGAUCCUUAUAAUUUUUGAGCUCCUCGUUACUGCACAAUUUUCUGAAUUUUAAGAAUUUUCUCUAAUUAUAUUAAAUACAUGUAUCCUUUUGUUAUUUAGAUCUUACAAUCUUAUGUUUCUUCACGUUUGAGCGAGAGCAUGCCAUCAGUGAGUCAAUGUUUACAUGUCUUGCAUGUAUUCUUCUGUUUUCUGUCUACUGUUGUCAGCAUUGCAGGUUCUUGAAGAAGACACUGUGUUUUUGCUUCUUUUUGGUUUUUCAAGACAGGGUGUCUCUGUGUUGCCUUCGAGCAAAUACUUUGAGUUUCUUUUGUGGUUUUUCUCUGUACUUGACAAUGAAUUCACAUAUACUCUUGGGGAUUUCACUUUUUUUUUUUUGGUAGUGUUUUCUUGUGGUUUUUGUUUUUUGUUUUUUUGUUUUUGUUUUUUAAAAUGGGGUUUCUCUAUAUACCAGGCUAGCCUUGAACUGACAGAAACCUAUGUUUGCCUCCUGUGUACUGUGAUGAAAGGCACUACUGCCUCGUGAAAAGACACCUUUUAAACAUUGAUAUUUACUAGAUUUGAAGACUUUUUUGUUUGUUUGUUUGGUUUCUUUGGUUUUUUAUUGAUUGUUCUUUGAACUGCUUUGUCUAAAUAGCCCUGGUUGUUCUGAAACUCUUUGUAUAACAAGCCUGCCUUGAACUCAGAGAUCCACAUACCCUAGCCUCUGAGUGCUGGGAAUAAAGGCCUGCACCAUCAGGCCAGACUGACUUGUUCAGACAUGGCCACACUGGAUAAUGCUGCUUGAAUUUUGAGAAGACUUGGGUAUCUUCAGCGCUUGUGUGGAUGAGUCUCUGGAGACCUGCUAGGAGUUAUUGCUAUUCUGUGCUGUUCAUGGUCAUCUCUCUCACUAGGGUCCUGUCUGAUUAAUACAGCAUUACUGUAUUAAGGAUGCUGAAACUUCUCUGCGUCACUUUUAUUGAUGGCUUCAAGUAUUUUUAUAUAUUUUGUUGAAAAGCAUUUAUAUUGAACACAUAUCUUUCUGGCAGAUGGACAACCAUUUAUUUGAUCCAUUUAAUAAACUUUGUUUUCUAUGUUGAUAGAUGUGGCUUUUUCUCUUAACCAUAAUUAUGAUGACCCCUCUUUACAGCAGACCUUUAAAAACUAGAUUUCUUCCCUUUUCACAUUGUGUGUACUUACAACCGAAGUACAAUGGGAGGUCUCAUUACAUAGCUGUUUGCUCAUCAGAAACUCACUAGGCAGACACGGUGAGAAGUUGAUAAAUUAAACAUUUCUCUGCACGCUGACUGUUGAUAGUAAAGUGGUGGGAGCAGACCAUGCUCCAGUAGGUUUGGGGAUUUGGUUUGGUUUGCUUUGUUCUGAUUGGUUUGAUGUGUUUUCAUGCUUGGGCAGUUGUAUGUCAGUGCAGAAAGUGUGCCUGAUGAAAGGAAUUAUGUAAAUGAUUCCUCAGUUGUCAGAUGUUGAGGGC